GAUGAACGCUGGCGGCGUGCCUAAUACAUGCAAGUCGAGCGAAUGGAUUAAGAGCUUGCUCUUAUGAAGUUAGCGGCGGACGGGUGAGUAACACGUGGGUAACCUGCCCAUAAGACUGGGAUAACUCCGGGAAACCGGGGCUAAUACCGGAUAACAUUUUGAACCGCAUGGUUCGAAAUUGAAAGGCGGCUUCGGCUGUCACUUAUGGAUGGACCCGCGUCGCAUUAGCUAGUUGGUGAGGUAACGGCUCACCAAGGCAACGAUGCGUAGCCGAACUGGGAGGGUGAUCGGCCACACUGGGACUGGGACACGGCCCAGACUCCGACGGGAGGCAGCAGUAGGGAAUCUUCCGCAAUGGACGAAAGUCUGACGGAGCAACGCCGCGUGAGUGAUGAAGGCUUUCGGGUCGUAAAACUCUGUUGUUAGGGAAGAACAAGUGCUAGUUGAAUAAGCUGGCACCUUGACGGUACCUAACCAGAAAGCCACGGCUAACUACGUGCCAGCCGCCGCCGUAA
rnacentral:rRNA from 1 species